rnacentral:rRNA from 1 species
UGCCCACUGAUAAAAAUAUUAAAGGGCUGCAGUAAUUUGACUGUACAAAGGUAGCAUAAUCAUUAGUCAUUUAAUUGGUGGCUUGUAUGAAAGAUUGGAUGAGAUAUAAACUGUCUUAAUAUUAAAUUAUAUAAUUUAAUUUUUUAGUUAAAAAGCUAAAAUAAUUUAAAAAGACGAGAAGACCCUAUAGAGUUUAAUUUUUAAUUUUAAUAGGAUUUAUAUAUAAAUUUAAUAAUUUUUAUUAUUUAAAAAAUUUUAUUGGGGUGAUAAAAAAAUUAAUUAAACUUUUUUUUUUGAUUUAAACAUAAAUAAGUGGGGGGUUGAUCCAAUAUUUUAUUGAUUAUAAGAAAAAAUUACCUUAGGGAUAACAGCGUAAUUUUAAUUUUUAGUUCAUAUAAAAAUUAAAGUUUGCGACCUCGAUGUUGGAUUAAGAUAAAAUUUAAAUGUAGAAGUUUAAAAUUUUGA